rnacentral:tRNA from 1 species
GGGGUAAUAGCUCAGUGGUAGAGCACAUGCCUAAAAUGCAUGAGGUCCUGGGUUCAAUCCCCAGGACCUCCA